GUCAAUGAUGGGCUAGAUUGGAGAUCUUCGGAUCGCCGUUUUCUCUGUACAACGGUAAGGCUAAUCCAAUCUAGUUCAUCACCAGU
rnacentral:antisense_RNA from 1 species